rnacentral:rRNA from 1 species
AGUCGACGGCAGCCAGAGGAGCUUGCUCCUUGGGUGGCGAGUGGCGGACGGGUGAGGAAUACGUCGGAAUCUGCCUAUUUGUGGGGGAUAACGUAGGGAAACUUACGCUAAUACCGCAUACGACCUUAGGGUGAAAGCGGAGGACCUUCGGGCUUCGCGCAGAUAGAUGAGCCGACGUCGGAUUAGCUAGUUGGCGGGGUAAAGGCCCACCAAGGCGACGAUCCGUAGCUGGUCUGAGAGGAUGAUCAGCCACACUGGAACUGAGACACGGUCCAGACUCCUACGGGAGGCAGCAGUGGGGAAUAUUGGACAAUGGGCGCAAGCCUGAUCCAGCCAUGCCGCGUGUGUGAAGAAGGCCUUCGGGUUGUAAAGCACUUUUGUCCGGAAAGAAAAGCUUAGGGUUAAUACCCCGGGGUCCUGACGGUACCGGAAGAAUAAGCACCGGCUAACUUCGUGCCAGCAGCCGCGGUAAUACGAAGGGUGCAAGCGUUACUCGGAAUUACUGGGCGUAAAGCGUGCGUAGGUGGUUUGUUAAGUCUGAUGUGAAAGCCCUGGGCUCAACCUGGGAAUUGCAUUGGAUACUGGCAGGCUAGAGUGCGGUAGAUGAUGGCGGAUUUCCCGGUGUAGCAGUGAAAUGC